UACGGAGGGUGCGAGCGUUGUCCGGAAUCACUGGGCGUAAAGAGCUCGUAGGCGGCUGCUCAAGUCGAAUGUGAAAACUCGAGGCUCAACCUCGAGCCUGCAUUCGAUACUGGGCGGCUAGAGUCUGGUAGGGGGAUCUGGAAUUCCUGGUGUAGCGGUGGAAUGCGCAGAUAUCAGGAGGAACACCGGUGGCGAAGGCGGGAUCCUGGGCCAGUACUGACGCUGAGGAGCGAAAGCGUGGGGAGCAAACAGG
rnacentral:rRNA from 1 species